GCGAAAGUGGCGGAAUUGGUAGACGCCCAGGUUUUAGGUACCUGUGCCGUAAGGCGUGAGAGUUCGAGUCUCUCCUUUCGCACCA
rnacentral:tRNA from 1 species